ACAGGGGCGCCGAAAAGGCUGAGAUGGUUUGACCAGUCCCUUAUGACCUGAUCUAGGUAAUUCUAGCGUAGGGAGUCUGAACUUUU
rnacentral:ncRNA from 1 species